rnacentral:rRNA from 1 species
GAUGAACGCUGUCGUCGUGCCUAAUACAUGCAAGUCGAGCGAACGGACGAGAAGCUUGCUUUUCUGAUGUUAGCGGCGGACGGGUGAGUAACACGUGGAUAACCUACCUAUAAGACUGGGAUAACUUCGGGAAACCGGAGCUAAUACCGGAUAAUAUUUUGAACCGCAUGGUUCAAAAGUGAAAGACGGUCUUGCUGUCACUUAUAGAUGGAUCCGCGCUGCAUUAGCUAGUUGGUAAGGUAACGGCUUACCAAGGCAACGAUGCAUAGCCGACCUGAGAGGGUGAUCGGCCACACUGGAACUGAGACACGGUCCAGACUCCUACGGGAGGCAGCAGUAGGGAAUCUUCCGCAAUGGGCGAAAGCCUGACGGAGCAACGCCGCGUGAGUGAUGAAGGUCUUCGGAUCGUAAAACUCUGUUAUUAGGGAAGAACAUAUGUGUAAGUAACUGUGCACAUCUUGACGGUACCUAAUCAGAAAGCCACGGCUAACUACGUG